AACGAAUAGAGCAGAGAAAGACGAAAGAGAGAACUCAACAAAAAUUUCUUAGAGAGGGGUUGACCUCUGAAAUAUAGAGAUUCUCGCAUCUACGGAAAAGAAUUUUGGAAUGAGAGACUAGGAAAGAAUGAAUGAGGAAUGAGAAUGAACUGCGAAGAUGGUGUGAAAUGAAUGUAACGGGAGUACUCAUUUGGGAAGUUGGUGAUGCUCAAAGGCGUGUCGGACUUAGUUGGGACGCGAGCAUUUGUCGUCAAGUGGAAUGUUUGAGACUUGCACACCUCUCUCAUUUGUGAUUGGAUACGAGCACCACCGUUUUAAGGGCUGUCCAGACUUGCACAUUUUUAUAAUUGUAAUAGAUUAGGAAUUCGAUAAAUUUGUACAAUAGUACUUUAGCGGACUUCGGAGAUGUGCCGGACAUUAUAAACUUUUAUUUGGUGUUACUCUUUUAGUUGUACU